rnacentral:rRNA from 1 species
ACGUACACUCCUACGGGAGGCAGCAGUGGGGAAUAUUGGACAAUGGGCGCAAGCCUGAUCCAGCCAUGCCGCGUGAGUGAUGAAGGCCCUAGGAUUGUAAAGCUCUUUCACCGGUGAAGAUAAUGACGGUAACCGGAGAAGAAGCCCCGGCUAACUUCGUGCCAGCAGCCGCGGUAAUACGAAGGGGGCUAGCGUUGUUCGGAUUUACUGGGCGUAAAGCGCACGUAGGCGGACUAUUAAGUCAGGGGUGAAAUCCCGGGGCUCAACCCCGGAACUGCCUUUGAUACUGGUAGUCUUGAGUUCGAGAGAGGUGAGUGGAAUUCCGAGUGUAGAGGUGAAAUUCGUAGAUAUUCGGAGGAACACCAGUGGCGAAGGCGGCUCGCUGGCUCGAUACUGACGCUGAGGUGCGAAAGCGUGGGGAGCAAACAGGAUUAGAUACCCCAGUAGUCCCA